UACGUAGGGACCAGGCGUUGUCCGGAAUCAUUGGGCGUAAAGCGCGCGUAGGUGGCCAUUUAAGUCCGCUGUGAAAGUCAGAGGCUCAACCUUUGAAAGCCGGUGGAUACUGGAUGGCUAGAGUACGGAAGAGGCGAGUGGAAUUCCUGGUGUAGCGGUGGAAUGCGCAGAUAUCAGGAGGAACACCAAUAGCGAAGGCAGCUCGCUGGGACGUUACUGACACUAAGGCGCGAAAGCGUGGGGAGCGAACAGG
rnacentral:rRNA from 1 species